rnacentral:rRNA from 1 species
GUGCCAGCAGCCGCGGUAAUACCGGCAGUGGGAGUGAUGGCCGAUCUUAUUGGGCCUUAAGCGUCCGUAGCUGGCUGAACAAGUCCGUUGGGAAAUCUGUCCGCUUAACGGGCAGGCGUCCAGCGGAAACUGUUCAGCUUGGGACCGGAAGACCUGAGGGGUACGUCUGGGGUAGGAGUGAAAUCCUGUAAUCCUGGACGGACCGCCGGUGGCGAAUGCGCCUCAGGAGAACGGAUCCGACAGUGAGGGACGAAGGCCAGGGUCUCGAACC